UACGUAGGGGGCUAGCGUUGUCCGGAAUCAUUGGGCGUAAAGCGCGUGUAGGCGGCUUGGUAAGUCUGCUGUGAAAGUCGGGGGCUCAACCCUCGGAUGCCGGUGGAUACUGUCAAGCUCGAGUACGGAAGAGGCGAGUGGAAUUCCUGGUGUAGCGGUGAAAUGCGCAGAUAUCAGGAGGAACACCAAUUGCGAAGGCAGCUCGCUGGGACGUUACUGACGCUGAGACGCGAAAGCGUGGGGAGCAAACAGG
rnacentral:rRNA from 1 species